rnacentral:rRNA from 1 species
AGACAGAGGUGGCAAGCGUUGUUCGGAUUUACUGGGCUUAAAGGGCGUGUAGGCGUCCGGGUAAGUCAGAUGUGGAAGCCUUGGGCUCAACCCAAGAAUUGCAUUUGAUACUGCCGGGAUUGAGUCGUGCAUGGGAGGGCGGAAUUCCUGGUGUAGCGGUGAAAUGCGUAGAUAUCAGGAGGAAGGCCGGUGGCGAAGGUGGCCCUCUGGGCAAUGACUGACGCUGAGGCGCGAAAGCGUGGGGAGCAAACAGGAUUAGAAACCCUAGUAGUCC